AGUGAACGCUGGCGGUAGGCCUAACACAUGCAAGUCGAACGGCAGCACAGUAAGAGCUUGCUCUUACGGGUGGCGAGUGGCGGACGGGUGAGGAAUACAUCGGAAUCUACUUUUUCGUGGGGGAUAACGUAGGGAAACUUACGCUAAUACCGCAUACGACCUACGGGUGAAAGCAGGGGAUCUUCGGACCUUGCGCGAUUGAAUGAGCCGAUGUCGGAUUAGCUAGUUGGCGGGGUAAAGGCCCACCAAGGCGACGAUCCGUAGCUGGUCUGAGAGGAUGAACGACCACCCUGGGACUGGACACACGCCCAGACCCCCGCGGGGGGCCGCCGGGGGGAAUUGUGGGACAUGGGCGGCAGCCUUUACCCGCCUUUCCGGGGGGGUGAAGAAGGCCUUGGGUGUUUAAAGCCCUUUUUGUGGGGAAAAAAAAGCAGCAGUUUACUCCCCCUCUUUUGUCCCGUCCCCAAAAAAAAAGCCCCCGCCUCCCUUCGCC
rnacentral:rRNA from 1 species